rnacentral:rRNA from 1 species
GAUGAACGCUGGCGGCGUGCCUAAUACAUGCAAGUCGAGCGAACGGACGAGAAGCUUGCUUCUCUGAUGUUAGCGGCGGACGGGUGAGUAACACGUGGAUAACCUACCUAUAAGACUGGGAUAACUUCGGGAAACCGGAGCUAAUACCGGAUAAUAUUUUGAACCGCAUGGUUCAAAAGUGAAAGACGGUCUUGCUGUCACUUAUAGAUGGAUCCGCGCUGCAUUAGCUAGUUGGUAAGGUAACGGCUUACCAAGGCAACGAUGCAUAGCCGACCUGAGAGGGUGAUCGGCCACAUGGGAACUGAGACGCGGUCCAGACUCCUACGGGAGGCAGCAGUGGGGAAUCUUCGGCAAUGGGCGAAAGCCUGACGGAGCAAUGCCGCGUGGGUGAAGAAGGUCUUCGGGUCGUAAAACUCUUUUAUGGGGGAAGAACAUAUGUGUAAGUAAAUGUGCACAGUUUGACGGUACCUAAUAAAAAAGCCCCGGCUAACUACGUG